UCCCUGGUGGCUCAGAGGGUAAAGCGUCUGCCUGCAAUGCGGGAGACCCGGGUUCGAUCCCUGGGUUGGGAA
rnacentral:tRNA from 1 species